UACGGAGGGGGCAAGCGUUGUUCGGAAUUACUGGGCGUAAAGGGUUCGUAGGUGGCUUGCUAAGUCAGACGUGAAAUCCCUCAGCUUAACUGGGGAACUGCGUCUGAUACUGGCGAGCUUGAGUGCAGGAGAGGAACGCGGAAUUCCAGGUGUAGCGGUGAAAUGCGUAGAUAUCUGGAGGAACACCGGUGGCGAAGGCGGCGUUCUGGACUGCAACUGACACUGAUGAACGAAAGCCAGGGGAGCAAACGGG
rnacentral:rRNA from 1 species